UACGUAGGGGGCGAGCGUUUGUCCGGAUUUAUUGGGCGUAAAGAGCGUGUAGGCGGUUCGGUAAGUCUGUCGUGAAAUCCUGAGGCUCAACCUUGGACGUGCGAUGGAUACUGCCGGGCUAGAGGAUGGUAGAGGCGAGUGGAAUUCUCGGUGUAGCGGUGAAAUGCGCAGGAUAUCGGGAGGAACACCAGAGGCGAAGGCGGCGACCUGGACAGAUACUGACACUCAACUACGAAAGCGUGGGGAGCAAACAGG
rnacentral:rRNA from 1 species